GCACUGGUGAUUCGGUGGUAGAAUUCUUGCCUUCCAGGCAGGAGACCCGGGUUCAAUUUCCGACCAGUGCG
rnacentral:tRNA from 1 species